rnacentral:rRNA from 1 species
CCUACGUGCGGCAGCAGUGGGGAAUAUUGCGCAAUGGGCGAAAGCCUGACGCAGCGACGCCGCGUGAGGGAUGAAGGUCUUCGGAUCGUAAACCUCUGUCAGCAGGGAAGAACGGUCACUGUGCUAAUCAGCAGUGAAUUGACGGUACCUGCAAAGGAAGCACCGGCUAACUCCGUGCCAGCAGCCGCGGUAAUACGGAGGGUGCGAGCGUUAAUCGGAAUUACUGGGCGUAAAGCGCUCGUAGGCGGUAUGUCAAGUCAAGGGUGAAAUCCCCGCGCUCAACGUGGGAACUGCCUUUGAAAAUGGCAAACUGGAGUGUGUGAGAGGAUAGUGGAAUUCCAGGUGUAGGAGUGAAAUCCGUAGAUAUCUGGAGGAACAUCAGUGGCGAAGGCGACUAUCUGGCACAUAACUGACGCUGAGGAGCGAAAGCGUGGGUAGCAAACAGGAUUAGAUACCCUAGUAGUC